CAAAAUAACAAUAUAAAGUGUUGAAGAGUGGCAGCAAAUACUGUUGUUAAAAUGUGGCUCUUAAUAUAGGUUUUUAGCAUUGGAGAAACAUAAUGAAACCUUUUGAGCCCAGUAUCUGAUAUCAGUGUCACUCAUCCCUAAUUUUCAUAUGUAACCCAGACAAUGCACACACCUGGAUUGGGAUACAGUAGCAAAUGUGAGAUGCUGCUGAUAUGAUGUGAUCUGGACCAACAACGGUUGCAGGAUAUAUCUUAUAGUUUUGCCAUGGAACAAACUGGUUAGUGUUGCUACCUUAUACUAUACUGUUUAUCCCUGACUUUUUGAAUUUCAUUUCAAAAACUAUUAUGUAUUGGUAUAAUUUUGUGCUCAACAUGAUAGUAAGGAAUAAAAGUUGUGGUGCUCACGUUUUUGGAUACAAUGUGCUCCUCAAAAUGUAGAAUAUUUCUUUCAUAGUUGUUUAAUUUUUUUUGUCGUUUUAUGAAAUCAAUGAUUCAUUGAUGCCGAUGCUCCCCCCCCCCUCCCCCCCCUGUCCAUCAAAGCCAUGGAAAUAUUACCUUCCAUGAUCAUUUACAGGUUUGCUAUUCCCCAGAAAUGUGCAAUGUUUUGUCUGGGGAAAAGAACUGUGCAAAGUUGGUUCCCAGUUGGUCCUGCAUAUAAAAUGUGAGGUAACACCCUUUCCUUUUCAAGUACACACUGUGGACAGCUGGGCUUUGCAAACGUGUGUAAGGAUAAAGGCUAAGUCAUUUAUGAUGGAUGACAUUACAGACAACAACACAGUAAUGGGCUGAAGUAUGGAUAGAAUAUGCAGAUGGUUUGAGUGACACAGAUGUUUUCACCCAUGGAGCAAUCUGAAGCAGCUUUGGUGUAAUCUGUUUUGCAUAAAGGAAGAAAAAAAAAAAAAAAUCACUGGAAAUGGCUCAUGAUUCUCCCUCUUGCUGAUUAUGAAUGCUCUCUUCGUUCAAAGUGUGGCUACUGUACCAAGCCUUUCUUUCGGUCCCAAGAGACCCGGGAUUCUGUUUUUGUUCCUGUUAUUCCUUUUUUUAAAUUUUGACCCUGGACUAUAUUGACCAUGUAGUCCAAGCCAACUUUCUACAAACAAAAAAAGAUACUAAAAAAGAAAUCUAUGGAAAAUACAUUCAAAUUGUUCUGUGCAAUAAAAAGGUAAUAUGCAGAUUCUUUUUUUUUUUUUUUAUUAACAAAAUUUUGUUGAUGUUGAAUUGUUGAGAAUAUGGUAUGUUGUAUUAAACAAUCUAUGGACUUUUUUAAA